AUUGAACGCUGGCGGCAGGCCUAACACAUGCAAGUCGAACGGUAACAGGAAGAAGCUUGCUUCUUUGCUGACGAGUGGCGGACGGGUGAGUAAUGUCUGGGAAACUGCCUGAUGGAGGGGGAUAACUACUGGAAACGGUAGCUAAUACCGCAUAACGUCGCAAGACCAAAGAGGGGGACCUUCGGGCCUCUUGCCAUCGGAUGUGCCCAGAUGGGAUUAGCUAGUAGGUGGGGCAACGGCUCACCUAGGCGACGAUCCCUAGCUGGUCUGAGAGGAUGACCAGCCACACUGGAACUGAGACACGGUCCAGACUCCUACGGGAGGCAGCAGUGGGGAAUAUUGCACAAUGGGCGCAAGCCUGAUGCAGCCAUGCCGCGUGUAUGAAGAAGGCCUUCGGGUUGUAAAGUACUUUCAGCGGGGAGGAAGGGAGUAAAGUUAAUACCUUUGCUCAUUGACGUUACCCGCAGAAGAAGCACCGGCUAACUCCGUG
rnacentral:rRNA from 1 species